rnacentral:misc_RNA from 1 species
AACGCAUCUUGCGCUCCUUGGUAUUCCGAGGAGCAUGCCUGUUUGAGGGUCAUUAAUAUCUCAACUCUAUAGUGUCAUUGCUAUGGAAAGGUUGGAUUUGGAGGAUUUGUGCAGGCAAAAUCAGUCUGCUCCUCUGAAAUGUAUUGGCAGCACUUGUGUGGGCACACCUGCUUUGGAUGUGAUAGUUAUCUGCAUUCAAUUGGACUGCACUCUGCUGAUAAAAUAAAAUAAAGCCUCAUUUGCUUGACCUCAAAUCAGGUAGGACUACCCGCUGAACUUAA